UACGUAGGGGGCUAGCGUUGUCCGGAAUCAUUGGGCGUAAAGCGCGUGUAGGCGGUCCGGUAAGUCCGCUGUGAAAGUCGAGGGCUCAACCCUCGAAUGCCGGUGGAUACUGUCGGGCUAGAGUGCGGAAGAGGCGAGCGGAAUUCCUGGUGUAGCGGUGAAAUGCGCAGAUAUCAGGAGGAACACCUAUUGCGAAGGCAGCUCGCUGGGACGUUACUGACGCUGAGACGCGAAAGCGUGGGGAGCAAACAGG
rnacentral:rRNA from 1 species